UACGUAGGGGGCAAGCGUUGUCCGGAUUUAUUGGGCGUAAAGAGCGUGUAGGCGGCCAGACAGGUCCGUUGUGAAAACUCGAGGCUCAACCUCGAGAUGUCGAUGGAAACCGUCUGGCUAGAGUCCGGAAGAGGAGUGUGAAAUUCCUGGUGUAGCGGUGAAAUGCGCAGAUAUCAGGAGGAACACCGAUGGCGAAGGCAGGUCUCUGGGCAUUAACUGACGCUGAGGAGCGAAAGCAUGGGGAGCGAACAGG
rnacentral:rRNA from 1 species